UGCCUGAAGUCUGUCCCUGAACAACAUUUUAUAUCAGACAACAGGUGUGGUUUGUUUUUGCACAGAGUAGAUUUUAAUAGACUGCGAGGUAGAUAAGACAGAUCGAGCAGGUGCAGGACAGGUUAUUUGAUUUAAGGACUUGACUUUGAACUUGCUGAUUGAAAAGUGAGCCAACACACACAAUGCCUCAACACAAGGACAGACGAUCCUCUAAAUCUCAACUCAGUGUAUGGACUAUAGUGUUUUUCCACUCUGUUAUCAUUCUUCAACUGACACAGAUCAAUGCAGGUGAAUCUCUGACAAACAGUCAGUAUCGAAUGUUCGCAGUAAUUGGUCAGACUCAAGACAUCAUCCUACCAUGCAAAUUGGAUCAUCCUAUGGAUGUCGUGGAUGAGAUGGUAGAGUGGUCAAGAUCUGACCUGAAUCCCAGAUUUGUCCACGUGUGGCGGUCAGGUGAAGAUCAUCUGGUUGGCCAAAACCCAUCCUACAAGAACAGAACGUCAGUGUCCACUGAGAAACUGAAAACAGGAGAUGUAUCACUGAAAAUUACCAAAGUGAGGCUGUCAGAUGAAGGAACAUACAGGUGCUUCAUUCCAGGACGGAAGGCAGAUUUUAGUGUUGAACUUG